rnacentral:rRNA from 1 species
GAUUUCUUUCCGGAUUAAGGCAUUUAUGGCGCUUCGGAGGCGGCCUGCGUUCGAAUUAAGUGUGGGUGGAGGGUAAUUGGCUCACAGCCGACGAUUCGUAGCUGUUCUGAGGAGGAUGACCAGCCAGACUGGAACUGAGACACGGUCCAGACUCCUACGGGAGGCAGCAGUGGAGGAAUCUUCCACAAUGGGCGAAAUCCUGAUGGAGCAACGCCGCGUGCAGGAUGAAGGCUUAGGGUUGUAAACUGCUUUAUAAGUGAGGAAUAUGACGGUAACUUAUGAAUAAGGAUCGGCUAACUACGUGCCAGCAGCCGCGGUCAUACGUAGGAUCCAAGCGUUAUCCGGAGUGACUGGGCGUAAAGAGUUGCGUAGGUGGUUUGUAAAGCGAAUAGUGAAAUCUGGCGGCUCAACCGUACAGGCUAUUAUUCGAACUCACAAACUCGAGAAUGGUAGAGGUAACUGGAAUUUCUUGUGUAGGAGUGAAAUCCGUAGAUAUAAGAAGGAACACCAAUGGCGUAGGCAGGUUACUGGACCAUUUCUGACACUGAGGCACGAAAGCGUGGGGAGCGAACCGGAUUAGAUACCCGGGUAGUCCACGCCGUAAACGAUGGAUACUAGCUGUUGGAGGUAUCGACCCCUUCAGUAGCGAAGCUAACGCGUUAAGUAUCCCGCCUGUGGAGUACGGUCGCAAGACUAAAACAUAAAGGAAUUGACGGGGACCCGCACAAGCGGUGGAUCGUGUUCUUUAAUUCGAUGCUAAACGAAAAACCUUACCAGGGCUUGACAUCUAGGGAAGGUCUGCGAAAGUAGACUGUGCCUUUUGGAACCCUAUGACAGGUGAUGCAUGGCCGUCGUCAGCUCGUGUCGUGAGAUGUUUGGUUAAGUCCAUCAACGAGCGCAACCCUUGUGAAUAGUUGAAUUUUUCUAUUCAGACUGCCCCGGUAACGGGGAGGAAGGAGGGGAUGAUGUCAGGUCAGUAUUUCCCUUACGUCCUGGGCUAGAAACACGAUACAAUGGCAAGUACAAUGCGCAGCGAAACAGCAAUGUGGAGCAAAUCGCAUCAAAGCUUGUCUCAGUUCGGAUUGGAGGCUGAAACUCGCCUCCAUGAAGUCGGAAUCGCUAGUAAUCGCAAAUCAGUAAGUUGCGGUGAAUACGUUCCCGGGUCUUGUACACACCGCCCGUCAAACCAUGAAAGUGACCAACACCCGAAGUCCGAUCGUCGGCCUAAGUGUUCC